GACGAACGCUGGCGGCGUGCUUAACACAUGCAAGUCGAGCGAUGAAAUUCCUUCGGGAAUGGAUUAGCGGCGGACGGGUGAGUAACACGUGGGUAACCUGCCUCAUAGAGGGGAAUAGCCUUCCGAAAGGAAGAUUAAUACCGCAUAAGAUUGUAGUUUCGCAUGAAACAGCAAUUAAAGGAGUAAUCCGCUAUGAGAUGGACCCGCGUCGCAUUAGCUAGUUGGUGAGGUAACGGCUCACCAAGGCGACGAUGCGUAGCCGACCUGAGAGGGUGAUCGGCCACAUUGGGACUGAGACACGGCCCAGACUCCUACGGGAGGCAGCAGUGGGGAAUAUUGCACAAUGGGGGAAACCCUGAUGCAGCAACGCCGCGUGAGUGAUGACGGUCUUCGGAUUGUAAAACUCUGUCUUCAGGGACGAUAAUGACGGUACCUGAGGAGGAAGCCACGGCUAACUACGUGCCAGCCGCCGCCGUAAGAC
rnacentral:rRNA from 1 species